UACGGGGGGGGUAAGCGUUGUUCGGAAUUACUGGGCGUAAAGGGCUCGUAGGCGGCCAACUAAGUCAGACGUGAAAUCCCUCAGCUUAACUGGGGAACUGCGUCUGAUACUGGAUGGCUUGGAUUUGGGAGAGGAAUGCGGAAUUCCAGGUGUAGCGGUGAAAUGCGUAGAUAUCUGGAAGAACACCGGUGGCGAAGGCGGCUAUCUGGACCGACAUUGACGCUGAGGCGCGAAAGCGUGGGGAGCAAACAGG
rnacentral:rRNA from 1 species